rnacentral:tRNA from 1 species
AAGGAUUUAAGUUAAUUAAACUAAUAACCUUCAAAGUUAUAAAUAGAAAAGUUUUCUAAGCCUUA